rnacentral:tRNA from 1 species
GAGGGUAUAGCUCAUUGGUAGAGUGUGUGCCUAGCAAUGCACAGGUCCUUGGUUCACUCCCCAGUGCCUCCA